ACCGAACCGGUGGCAUAAAUGAUAAAGGCCACCGGUUUUGAACCGGUGGCAAUAAUCAAAUAAUAAAAAAAAAAUCCCACCAUUCUUUUUCCCCUUCCUUUAUAUACCUAACCCUAAUCUUCUCUCUCCUCUAUCACCUCUCCCCCUGCUCUCCUCCUUCUCUCUAUCUCCUUCGUUCUUACUCCCCCUCUCUGUUCUCUCUCUCUCUACCCUGAAUCUCUCUCGUCAACCUCCUCCUCUCUCCUGAUCUCUCUUCUCUUUAUCUCUCCUUAACCCUAAUCUUCUCCCUCUCUCGCGGUAUCUUCCUCUCUCCUUCGUUCGGCUCGUCCACCGCCGCAACAACAACCACCGCCACAUCAACAACCACCGCCAUUAACCAUCAAGCUUAUUGUCGCACUUACUCUCUCCUCGUGAUGAAAAUAUGGGUUUUCUGGUCUAAUUCGACCAUGAAAACUCUAGAUCUAGAGUUUUCAUGGUCGAAUUAGACCUUUAUAACACAAAUUCAAGAUAAUUUCGGGGGGUUUUGCUGAAAUUCAAGUGUUAAUUGAUGCUGGAUUCAAGACUUUCAUUUUGGAAUAUUGUUAUUUUUUAAUGUUUUAAUUUUUUUUUUGUACUGUAUAAUUCAUUGUAAUUUUUUUUACUUAAUACUUCAUUGUAAUUUUUUUUUAUUGUACAAUAACAAUCUAUUAUUUGAAUAUAAAUGUGAGUAUAUUUCAUUGCGCUCUUAUAUUGAUUGUGAUGUUA